rnacentral:rRNA from 1 species
GACAGAGGGGGGCAAGCGUUGCUCGGAAUUAUUGGGCGUAAAGCGUACGCAGGCGGCUCGGCAAGUCGAGUGUGAAAUCCCACGGCUCAACCGUGGAACUGCUUGGCAUACUGCGAGACUCGAGGACGGUAGGGGAGAGCGGAACUCCUGGUGGAGCGGUGAAAUGCGUAGAUAUCAGGAGGAACACCGGUGGCGGAAGGCGGCUCUCUGGUCCGUUUCUGACGCUGAUGUGCGAAAGCUAGGGUAGCGAACGGG